rnacentral:rRNA from 1 species
GACGAACGCUGGCGGCGUGCUUAACACAUGCAAGUCGAACGGAAAGGCACUGCUUUUCUGUUCUGGUCGAGUGGCGAACGGGUGAGUAACACGUAAGUAACCUGCCCUGGACUUGGGGAUAACUUCAGGAAACUGGAGCUAAUACCGGAUAGGAGCUGCUGUUGCAUGGUGUGGGUUGGAAAGUUGCGGCGGCUGCGGUUGCACACGCGGCUUCUCUGCAUUUUGGUGUGGUAGGGGCGUACCAAGGCCUUGGCGGCUAGCCAGCCUGAGAGGGUGACCGGCCACAGUGGGACUGGGGUACGGCCAAGAGGGAUUCGGGAGGCAGCGGUGGAGAAUAUAGCGCAAAGGGCGGAAGCCGGAAAGAGCGACUUCGGGUGCGGGAUGACGGUUGUAGGGGAGUAAAGCGCGUGCGAGUGGAAAGAUGACUGUGUGACGGUAACUGAUCAGGAAGCACCGGCUAACUACGUG